rnacentral:rRNA from 1 species
UACAGAGGUCUCAAGCGUUGUUCGGAUUCAUUUGGGCGUAAAGGGGUGCGAGUAGGCGGCGCGGUAAGUCGGGUGUGAAAGUCUUGGAGCUUAACUCCGAAAACUGCAUUCGAUACUGCCGUGCUUGAGGACUGGAGAGGAGACUGGAAUUUACGGUGUAGCGGUGAAAUGCGUAGAUAAUCGUGAAGGAAGACCAGUGGCGAAAGGGCCGGGGU